UCUCUUGGAGCCUAGAGCCCUUAGAGCGCCAUCCGCACUUCAGUCACAGUUCCCAAAGUGUGCAUGUUGUUUUCCGCCUGGUGAAUUUGAGACUCUGUUAGUGAGUUUUCUCUUCACACAAGAUAUGUGCAUAAGGACAAUUAUGUCAGAACUGCCAAAAAAAGAGAAAUCUAAGUCUAGGACAUUAUUCUGCAACGUUUUUUCCGAGCCGUCAACGGCGCAGGCUCGUUACGAAUAUCUGCGAUCGGCAACUACGUCAUCACUUUGCGCUUAGCUGGUCACGUGAUACAACAGCUACACAAGGUCAUACGAACAAAUCUGUACGAAAUAUGUUGUAAUGGCCACAGCAAGGAAGUUUUUUAACAUAAAGUUGAAGGAAACUGCUGUUCCCGGGGUUGCUUUUGUGUUUAGCAGUGUGCAAGAUCAUUUAGUAUGUCAGCUUGUAAAAAGGUGUGAGUAGUGUGUAUAGCCUUAGGAUGUCAAGAGGACAUCAUUAUUAUUACCAUUGACGGAGAUGAACGGUACCAAAAGAAAUUAGAGAGGAUGUCCGACCCGCUUGAUGUAAACGAUCGCUAAGGUCACCAUCACAUCAUAACCGCUGGAAAUAUUUUACCACCUGCAGCAACUUAUCAGAUCCCUGUGGAACAUCUACGCAGAAAGCCACAUUAUGCAGAGGUGAGGCGACGGACCACGAAACCUUCGCUUCGGAUGUGACUGACUGAUGUGGAGCAUAUGAAAGGAGAGAACUCAUCAGAUAUGUCCAGGAGAUGGCGGGAUGUACCUCCUGACUGAGUGGAGCAUAUGAAAGGAGAGAACGCAUUUGAUGAGCUCUCGCCUUUCAUAUGCUUCACAUCAAUCAGGAGCAACCCACUAUCUCCUGGUCAUAUCUGAUGAAGAGUUCCCUCCUUUCAUAUGCUCCAUUUGAUAUAACCCGGAGAACGAUACUAUUUCUGAACGCAUGAGGAGAAUGAGAGACAUUAAAGCAAUGUCGUGUAAGAGCUAUAGGGUUUUCAGAAAAUAUGAAUUGGCAACCAGGUAUAAUUAUCAUACUAACUUAUUUUAUCGCAUCUUGCCUGAUACCGCUAAGUUUCAAGACAAUAAAGCAUGAUUAAAAUAUCAUAACCUUUCAAUUUAUUGGAUUUAAGUAAUUUACACGAUCUAUGCUGCCCCACGGCCAAAAAAUUAAACACAGACGUUCAGAAGUUUAUUUAUUGCCCUGGAUCAUUAACAUCUUUCGACAGUUUUCUUGCUCAGGCCCACAUGCAGAUUAGUUUUGUUUUGUAUACUGGUCCUCUUCCUCUUACAUAACUCCUCUUGCUACUGCAGAAGCCCACAUGCAGACUAGCUUUGUUGUUUACACUAAUCCUCCUUGAACUCUCAGAGGUCCUCUUGCUCAAGCCCUCAUGCAGACUAGUAGUCUUGAUCUGUCAGUAGUCCUCUUGCUCCUGCAGAAGUCCUCAUGCAGACUAGUUUUGUUGUGUGCACUACUACUCUUGAUCUCUCAGAAUCCUAAUGCUCUUGCAGAAGCCCUCUUGCAAAACCAUACGCAGUCUAGUUGUGAUGUGUGUACAUUCUGCAAAAGAGAAAUUUUAAAAUUUAUUUGUAUAAACAUACAGUACACAUUGACAUACAAUUGGUCCCUACAAUUUCAAAUUAAUAAAUAUUAACAUGACAACUACAAUGAAAACCUACGUAUUUUACAGAGAUUAAUGCAAGAUCUUUUUUUUGUGUACACCAUCUGUAACCUUUGUCAGAAACGAGCUAGAAGACUU